rnacentral:rRNA from 1 species
UACGUAGGGUGCGAGCGUUAAUCGGAAUUACUGGGCGUAAAGUGUGCGUAGGCGGCCAACUAAGUCGGAUGUGAAAUCCCCAGGCUUAACCUGGGAACUGCAUCCGAUACUGGAUGGCUUGAAUCCGGGAGAGGGAUGCGGAAUUCCAGGUGUAGCGGUGAAAUGCGUAGAUAUCUGGAGGAACACCGGUGGCGAAGGCGGCAUCCUGGACCGGCAUUGACGCUGAGGAGCGAAAGCCAGGGGAGCAAACGGG